rnacentral:rRNA from 1 species
GACGAACGCUGGCGGCGUGCUUAACACAUGCAAGUCGAACGAAGAGCGACGGAAGCUUGCUUCUAUCAAUCUUAGUGGCGAACGGGUGAGUAACGCGUAAUCAACCUGCCCUUCAGAGGGGGACAACAGUUGGAAACGACUGCUAAUACCGCAUACGAUCUAAUCUCGGCAUCGAGGAUGGAUGAAAGGUGGCCUCUACAUGUAAGCUAUCACUGAAGGAGGGGAUUGCGUCUGAUUAGCUAGUUGGAGGGGUAACGGCCCACCAAGGCGAUGAUCAGUAGCCGGUCUGAGAGGAUGAACGGCCACAUUGGGACUGAGACACGGCCCAGACUCCUACGGGAGGCAGCAGUGGGGAAUCUUCCGCAAUGGACGAAAGUCUGACGGAGCAACGCCGCGUGAGUGAUGGCGGCCUUCGGGUUGUAAAGCUCUGUUAAUCGGGACGAAAGGCCUUCUUGCGAAUAGUGAGAAGGAUUGACGGUACCGGAAUAGAAAGCCACGGCUAACUACGUG